rnacentral:rRNA from 1 species
GAUGAACGCUGACAGAAUGCUUAACACAUGCAAGUCGGUGGGGAAUUGGUGCUUGCACCAUGGUAACCAUGGCGGACGGGUGAGUAACACGUAAGGAACUUACCUGCGGGACCGGGAUAACAGCAGGAAACUGCUGACAAGACCGCAUAAGGUCAUUAAGCUGCAUUGCUUAGUGAUGAAAGGAGACGCCUGCGGAGAGCCUUGCGUCCUAUUAUCUAGUUGGAGGGGUAACGGCCCACCAAGGCGAAGAUAGGUAGCCGGCCUGAGAGGGUGGACGGCCACAAGGGGACUGAGAUACGGCGCUUACGCAUACGGGAGGCAGCAGUGGGGAAUAUUGGACAAUGGGGGCAACGCUGAUCCAGAAAUUCUGUGUGCACGAAGAAGGUUUUCGGAUUGUAAAGUGCUUUCAGAAGGGAAGAAGGAAGUGACGGUACCUGCAGAAGAAGCGACGGCUAAAUACGUG